UCGUGGAGUGAUUUGUCUUGUUAAUUCAGUUAACGAACGAGACCUUAACCUACUAACUAGGCUAUAGGCCAGCUCUCGGGCUGGUCAGUUUCUUCGGGGUGGUUCGUAUGGGCCAUCUCUUGAAACCUAUAAUAUGGGACUUCAUCUUCGGGUGGAGUCCUUGCUUCUUAGAGGGACAAUACUUCGUUCAUAUUAGAGUAAGGAAGUUUAAGGCAAUAACA
rnacentral:rRNA from 1 species